AGCAGUCGCCACGGUAAUACGUAGGUCCCGAGCGUUGUCCGGAUUUAUUGGGCGUAAAGCGAGCGCAGGCGGUUAGAUAAGUCUGAAGUUAAAGGCUGUGGCUUAACCAUAGUACGCUUUGGAAACUGUUUAACUUGAGUGCAAGAGGGGAGAGUGGAAUUCCAUGUGUAGCGGUGAAAUGCGUAGAUAUAUGGAGGAACACCGGUGGCGAAAGCGGCUCUCUGGCUUGUAACUGACGCUGAGACUCGAAAGCGUGGGGAGCAAACAGGAUUAGAUACCCGUGUAGUCCCUGUCUCUUAUACA
rnacentral:rRNA from 1 species